rnacentral:rRNA from 1 species
GUAGGGUGCGAGCGUUAAUCGGAAUGACUGGGCGUAAAGGGUGCGCAGGCGGCUAUGUAAGAUAUAGGUGAAAUCCCCGGGCUUAACCUGGGAAUGGCCUGUGUGACUGCAUAGCUAGAGUGUGUCAGAGGGAGGUAGAAUUCCACGUGUAGCAGUGAAAUGCGUAGAGAUGUGGAGGAAUACCGAUGGCGAAGGCAGCCUCCUGGGAUAACACUGACGCUCAGGCACGAAAGCGUGGGGAGCAAACAGGAUUAGAUACCCUGGUAGUCCACGCCCUAAACGAUGUCUACUAGUUGUUGGGUCUCAAAAGAACUUAGUAACGAAGCAAACGCGAGAAGUAGACCGCCUGGGGAGUACGGUCGCAAGAUUA